UUGUGGCUUGAUAGUGUAAUGUAAUGAUGUUUUAUUAUAUUAAAAGAUACAAGUUUUUGUUGCAGUGGAUUCAUCAAUACAAGAACAAAUUGCAAUGUGAAUGUAUCUUGGUUUCAGACUGAGAUAAUAAGGUUAUUCUUUUUGAAUCCUACAGUAACCCUGAAGGACCCGAAAUGGAGAACUGUGUACAAGCUGACACAAGGGGUAAAAUAUCAUCUAACCAAGCAAGGUCAUGUUGG